CGUAUUCAUUCAUUAGACAUUUCUAGACGCGCGUAGAAAGUCGCCACGCGGAUAUAAAGCAUUGAAAAUAGUAAUUGAUCUUAACUGUUACCUAUUAACUAUUUAUAUAUUACUCAUAAUCUCUUUUAUACCUUACCUACUAGUUACUUUUGUGGCUCAUAUUCAUCAGCAAGAUGUCUCGAUACCGCGAAUGGGACCUAUCGUGCAAAGUUUAUGUUGGAAAUUUAGGAACAAAUGCUUCUAAGUAUGAAAUUGAAAAAGUAUUUUCCAAAUAUGGUAGCAUAAGAAACGUAUGGGUUGCAAGGAACCCACCUGGCUUCGCAUUUGUGGAAUUCGAGGAUCCCCGGGACGCAGAGGAUUCGGUCAGAGGCUUGGAUGGCACAAGAUGCUGCGGCACAAGGAUCAGGGUAGAGAUGUCAAAUGGUAGAACAAGAAGAGAUCGCAGGUCCAUUUUAUCAACCAACCACCAACACACCAACGACCUCACCACAUCUCUUCACAACUACGGCUUUAUAACCGCGAACGUCGCCACCCCGAACUGCGAACACAAACAACGCGCAGCCGAAGCCUACGCGAACUACGCCCCAAUUAUCCUCAUGACAGCUAUCACCUAAUCCCGAGCCUCCCUUACGGACUCACACAUUAGGAACCGACCAAUCCUCAUUGCGAUCCCGACGCUUCACCGACUGCACACUAAACAACGGGGCACGAAUAUAGAAAUACAACAGCUCAGCUCUUCCCAUUUUUGAAACUUCCGGUUAAGUCAUCAUUUGAAGAUAACGCCUUUCCCCCUUCGGCCACAGCAGCCUCGACGAUCUCCAGGCUCACCAAGUCUCGGACGCGUAGUCGCAGCCCGCGGCGGCGAUCGUACUCGCGCGGGCGCUCGGGCUCACCUCGCCGCUCGCCGUCGGUCCGCCGCCGCUCGCCUUCAGUCCGCCGCUCGCGGUCCCGCGACCGCCGCAGCCGCUCAGAUAGCAAGA